rnacentral:rRNA from 1 species
UACGGAGGGUGCGAGCGUUAUCCGGAUUCACUGGGUUUAAAGGGUGCGUAGGUGGGUAUGUAAGUCAGUGGUGAAAUCUCUGGGCUUAACUCAGAAACUGCCAUUGAUACUAUGUUUCUUGAAUUUUCUGGAGGUCAGCGGAAUAUGUCAUGUAGCGGUGAAAUGCUUAGAUAUGACAUAGAACACCAAUUGCGAAGGCAGCUGGCUACAGGGAUAUUGACACUGAGGCACGAAAGCGUGGGGAUCAAACAGG